UACGUAGGGGGCAAGCGUUGUCCGGAAUUAUUGGGCGUAAAGCGCGUGUAGGCGGUCCGAUAAGUCCGCUGUGAAAGUCGAGGGCUCAACCCUCGAAUGCCGGUGGAUACUGUCGGGCUUGAGUACGGGAGAGGCGAGUGGAAUUCCCGGUGUAGCGGUGAAAUGCGCAGAUAUCGGGAGGAACACCUAUGGCGAAGGCAGCUCGCUGGGACGGCACUGACGCUGAGACGCGAAAGCGUGGGGAGCAAACAGG
rnacentral:rRNA from 1 species